rnacentral:rRNA from 1 species
GGCGGGACACGUGGUAUCCUGUCUGAAUAUGGGGGGACCAUCCUCCAAGGCUAAAUACUCCUGACUGACCGAUAGUGAACCAGUACCGUGAGGGAAAGGCGAAAAGAACCCCGGCGAGGGGAGUGAAAAAGAACCUGAAACCGUGUACGUACAAGCAGUGGGAGCACCCUUUGGGGUGUGACUGCGUACCUUUUGUAUAAUGGGUCAGCGACUUAUAUUCUGUAGCAAGGUUAACCGAAUAGGGGAGCCGGAGGGAAACCGAGUCUUAACCGGGCGUUAAGUUGCAGGGUAUAGACCCGAAACCCGGUGAUCUAGCCAUGGGCAGGUUGAAGGUUGGGUAACACUAACUGGAGGACCGAACCGACUAAUGUUGAAAAAUUAGCGGAUGACCUGUGGCUGGGGGUGAAAGGCCAAUCAAACCGGGAGAUAGCUGGUUCUCCCCGAAAGCUAUUUAGGUAGCGCCUCGUGAACUCAUCUCCGGGGGUAGAGCACUGUUUCGGCUAGGGGGCCAUCCCGGCUUACCAACCCGAUGCAAACUGCGAAUACCGGAGAAUGUUAUCACGGGAGACACACGGCGGGUGCUAACGUCCGUCGUGAAGAGGGAAACAACCCAGACCGCCAGCUAAGGUCCCAAAGUCAUGGUUAAGUGGGAAACGAUGUGGGAAGGCCCAGACAGCCAGGAUGUUGGCUUAGAAGCAGCCAUCAUUUAAAGAAAGCGUAAUAGCUCACUGGUCGAGUCGGCCUGCGCGGAAGAUGUAACGGGGCUAAACCAUGCACCGAAGCUGCGGCAGCGACACUCAGGUGUUGUUGGGUAGGGGAGCGUUCUGUAAGCCUGCGAAGGUGGCCUGUGAGGGUUGCUGGAGGUAUCAGAAGUGCGAAUGCUGACAUAAGUAACGAUAAAGCGGGUGAAAAGCCCGCUCGCCGGAAGACCAAGGGUUCCUGUCCAACGUUAAUCGGGGCAGGGUGAGUCGACCCCUAAGGCGAGGCCGAAAGGCGUAGUCGAUGGGAAACGGGUUAAUAUUCCCGUACUUGGUGUUACUGCGAAGGGGGGACGGAGAAGGCUAUGUUGGCCGGGCGACGGUUGUCCCGGUUUAAGCGUGUAGGUGUGUGUUCCAGGUAAAUCCGGUUCACUUUAACACUGAGGCGUGAUGACGAGGCACUACGGUGCUGAAGCAACAAAUGCCCUGCUUCCAGGAAAAGCCUCUAAGCAUCAGGUAACAUCAAAUCGUACCCCAAACCGACACAGGUGGUCAGGUAGAGAAUACCAAGGCGCUUGAGAGAACUCGGGUGAAGGAACUAGGCAAAAUGGUGCCGUAACUUCGGGAGAAGGCACGCUGACACGUAGGUGAAGUGAUUUACUCAUGGAGCUGAAGUCAGUCGAAGAUACCAGCUGGCUGCAACUGUUUAUUAAAAACACAGCACUGUGCAAACACGAAAGUGGACGUAUACGGUGUGACGCCUGCCCGGUGCCGGAAGGUUAAUUGAUGGGGUCAGCGCAAGCGAAGCUCCUGAUCGAAGCCCCGGUAAACGGCGGCCGUAACUAUAACGGUCCUAAGGUAGCGAAAUUCCUUGUCGGGUAAGUUCCGACCUGCACGAAUGGCGUAAUGAUGGCCAGGCUGUCUCCACCCGAGACUCAGUGAAAUUGAACUCGCUGUGAAGAUGCAGUGUACCCGCGGCAAGACGGAAAGACCCCGUGAACCUUUACUAUAGCUUGACACUGAACAUUGAGCCUUGAUGUGUAGGAUAGGUGGGAGGCUUUGAAGUGUGGACGCCAGUCUGCAUGGAGCCGGCCUUGAAAUACCACCCUUUAAUGUUUGAUGUUCUAACGUGGACCCGUGAUCCGGGUUGCGGACAGUGUCUGGUGGGUAGUUUGACUGGGGCGGUCUCCUCCUAAAGAGUAACGGAGGAGCACGAAGGUUGGCUAAUCCUGGUCGGACAUCAGGAGGUUAGUGCAAUGGCAUAAGCCAGCUUGACUGCGAGCGUGACGGCGCGAGCAGGUGCGAAAGCAGGUCAUAGUGAUCCGGUGGUUCUGAAUGGAAGGGCCAUCGCUCAACGGAUAAAAGGUACUCCGGGGAUAACAGGCUGAUACCGCCCAAGAGUUCAUAUCGACGGCGGUGUUUGGCACCUCGAUGUCGGCUCAUCACAUCCUGGGGCUGAAGUAGGUCCCAAGGGUAUGGCUGUUCGCCAUUUAAAGUGGUACGCGAGCUGGGUUUAGAACGUCGUGAGACAGUUCGGUCCCUAUCUGCCGUGGGCGCUGGAGAACUGAGGGGGGCUGCUCCUAGUACGAGAGGACCGGAGUGGACGCAUCACUGGUGUUCGGGUUGUCAUGCCAAUGGCACUGCCCGGUAGCUAAAUGCGGAAGAGAUAAGUGCUGAAAGCAUCUAAGCACGAAACUUGCCCCGAGAUGAGUUCUCCCUGAGACUUUAGGUCUCCUGAAGGAACGUUGAAGACGACGACGUUGAUAGGCCGGGUGUGUAAGCGCAGCGAUGCGUUGAGCUAACCGGUACUAAUGAACCGUGAGGCUUAACCUUACA